UUCUGUGAUGAAGAUGCUGUAUAGGAAAAGCCGUCUGAUGCGAUAACUGACGAUGGCGAAGCAGAAUCACUGAGA